ACUUAAAUAUACCAAAUAUAUUAAUUAUUCAAUAAAUUUAAAAAAUUAUUUUUUUAUUAAUAGAACUAAAGGAAGUAGUAUACAAAAUAGUAUACAAAUACACUUUUAGGUUUAUCAUAACAUUUGAAAAGCAAGGGAAACAUCAAUAUAAUUUAAAAGUAAAAUAUCAAGUACAAACAUCUGGCGUAAAAGUAAAGUUAUAUGCUUAGAAGUGAUAUAAUUAUUUUUAAACUUAAUCAAUCCUCGGCUAUCAUUCUAUAUUGACAAUGACGAUCAAUACACUUCAUAACUAAAGGUAAAGUCUUCUCUGGACAAUCACUGUUUUCAACACAAGGAAUGCGAAAUACACCACGAUGAAAAGCUGCAUUGUAGUGUUAAAAUGUUACUAAAAAAUAUAUGUAUUUAUAAAAAAAAAUAUUUUUUAAAUUUAUUUAUUAAAUAAUAUAUCUGGACAAAAUAUAAAUAAGAUAUAUUAGUUAUUGAAUUAAUUUAAUUUUUUAUUAUUUAUAAAUAGAACUAGAAAUAAUAUUAGAUAUGAUAUCAUGCAUAAGAUAAAUUACAAAGUUUUGAAAACAGUUUGAAAAAGAACAUACCACCAUUGGUUACGACAAAAAAUAGAGGAAAUAAUAUGAUAAGAGUACAAACAAACAUGAUAAUUUGAGCCAUAUUUUUCCUCCUUUUGCAUAUAGAUAAUAAAUAUUAACUACUUUGUGCGCUUUAUAGAAAACUUCCACUCUUUGUCAACUUCAAAUAAUAGUUUUUAGUAUUAGGACUUGUA
rnacentral:lncRNA from 1 species